ACUACGACUCUCGACGAUGGAUAUCUAGGCUCUCGCUUCGAUGAAGAACGUAGCGAAAUGCGAUACUUUGUGUGAAUUGCAGAAUCCCGUGAAUCAUCGAAUCUUUGAACGCAAGUUGCGCCCGAGGGCUAGGCCGAGGGCACGUCUGCCUGGGCAUCUUAAAAA
rnacentral:rRNA from 1 species